rnacentral:tRNA from 1 species
GGGGACGUAGCUUAGCGGCAGAGCUCUUGCUUUGCAUGCGCAGUGCCUUGGGUUCAAUCCCCAACACUACCA